rnacentral:piRNA from 1 species
UCAAGGGGGUUAAGGCAGUGAAGAAAAUG